AUUUUUUUAGAAAGGAGAUAUGGUUGGCAUCUCCCCUGACAGGGAUGGGAACAACUUUCGGGCAUUCUUGUUAACACAUUGGUUAAGGCUACCCUAUGAAGCACCGACACUUCAAAAAUUCUGA